CGUUAGUGGAUCUAGCGGCGGACGGGUGAGUAACACGUGGGCAACCUGCCUGUAAGACUGGGAUAACUCGCGGAAACGUGAGCUAAUACCGGAUAAUACUUUGAACUUCAUGGUUCGAAGAUGAAAGGCGGCGUAAGCUGUCACUUACAGAUGGGCCCGCGGCGCAUUAGCUAGUUGGUGAGGUAACGGCUCACCAAGGCGACGAUGCGUAGCCGACCUGAGAGGGUGAUCGGCCACACUGGGACUGAGACACGGCCCAGACUCCUACGGGAGGCAGCAGUAGGGAAUCUUCCGCAAUGGACGAAAGUCUGACGGAGCAACGCCGCGUGAGUGAUGAAGGUUUUCGGAUUGUAAAACUCUGUUGUUAGGGAAGAACAAGUACGAUAGUAACUGAUCGUACCUUGACGGUACCUAACCAGAAAGCCCCGGCUAACUACGUGCCAGCAGCCGCGGUAAUACGUAGGGGGCAAGCGUUGUCCGGAAUUAUUGGGCGUAAAGCGCGCGCAGGCGGUCCUUUAA
rnacentral:rRNA from 1 species